rnacentral:snRNA from 1 species
GUACUUACCUGGCAGGGGAGAUACCAUGAUCACGAAGGUGGUUUCCCAGGGCGAGGCUUGUCCAUUGCGCUCUGGCUGUGCUGACCCCUGCGAUUUCCCCAAAUGUGGGAAACUGGACUGCAUGAUUUGUGGUAGUCGGGGACUGCGUACACGCUUUCCCCUG